rnacentral:rRNA from 1 species
ACCCCUUGUCUAAACCACCUGGUUGCGUUCCGGCUGUUUGGGCUGUAUAGUUAGCUGUAUAUCCUGGCCGGAAGGUUAACAUAAAAUAUUGUAUUUAGAGUCUUCUGAAUUUUAAAAUAAAAGUUAGAACUUUCAACAACGGAUCUCUUGGUUCUCGCAUCGAUGAAGAACGCAACGAAAUGCGAUAAGUAGUGUGAAUUGCAUAAUUCAGUGAAUCAUCCAAUCUUUGAACGCACAUUGCGCCUUCCGGUAUUCCGGAAGGCAUGCCUGUCCGAGCGUCAUCAAAAACCACUCAAGUAGUUUUGCUUGGUUAUGAAAGAAGAGUUUGCUUGCGAAUUCCCUUUCGAAAUUCAAUGGCGGAGGGUCUCAUGAUUCCGGCGUAAUAAUAACUUAUUCGCUUGGUCAUUGUGACAAUCCUGCCUCAAACCCCCAAUUCUAGUGUUUGACCUCGGAUCAGGUAGGGAUACCCGCUGAACUUAAGAA